GGGAAUAGAAGACGGAGAGCGAGGUAGGUCCAGGAUACGCCUAGAGUACUUGCUUGCUUGGGAUCUGAUAAAGGCGCACUAGAAGAGUUCGUCUAGAGAGAGCCGGGCCCUCCCCCGCGCCGUUAACGAGCUCCUAGUCAGCAAGGGAAAAACCACGUAUUUAUUUCCAUUUAUUUCCUACCCCACAUCGAAGCGAAGGCAAGCAACCGUACAACUCGAAAACACGUCGCCAUCUCGAGGAGUAACCGGGCAGCCAGUGGGUUAUAAACACUACCUAGAUAUUUCUACUUUUUAAAACGGCUCAUCGGGGCGCAGUUAAACAUGUACCUCUUCACGGCUGUUUUUCCUCCUGGGAAGGGAGUACUGUUCCAAAGGAUUUUUUCAAACAACUAUGGGACACUAGUUUUCUUCUGAGCAAUACCAACGAUCCGACUGGUACUGAGUCUCAAACUUCAGGUGGUCCGUUUCCCUACACGUUCUCGAUUACCUGUAACACGACGCUUUGCGGAGACUUCUCAGUACUUCGGUGGUUCUCUGCUCCAACCCUUUCAGCCAACCCCACCUCUACAGCCACUACAUCUUCAACGUUACGGGUUCCUGGUCCAAGGUUUAUCGUGCUUUCUUUCCCGUACACUGCACUUAUACAACUGGGCAGAGUUUCACAUCACCGUGUUGUUCGUACUGACCAAUACUCCGGUUGGAGUUUACCGAUCCAACAGGCGGCAUUCCUAAAAUAAAACUCGCUAACCUAGGUCAUAUAUACGGAGGGUUUAGUAACUUCACCGUACGCAACCCUACCUCGGAAACUCAACUCGCUACGUACGACUAAACCUACUUAUAAAAAGUAGGCA
rnacentral:rRNA from 1 species